rnacentral:rRNA from 1 species
GACGAACGCUGGCGGCGUGCCUAACACAUGCAAGUCGAACGGAAAGGCCCUGCUUUCGCGGGGUGUCCGAGUGGGGCACGGGUGAGAAACCUGUGAGUAACCUGGCCUUGAGUUUGGGACAACCUCAGGCAACCGGGGCUAACACAGGCUACGUGCUCCUGAUGCAUGGGGGGGGUUGGACAGCAUCGGCGGGUAGGGAUAGACUUGCGGCUAAUUAGCUUGUUGGUGGAGUAGCUGCUUAGCCACGGUUAGGCGGGUAGUCGGCCUGGGAGGGGGGCCAGGGACAAGAGGACUGAGAGACGGACCAGACGCCAACGGGAGGCAGCAGUGGGAAAUAUUACACAAUGGGCGGAAGCGUGAGGCAGCGGCGCCGCGUGCGGAAUGACGGCCUUCUGGUGGGAAACCGCAGUCACCUGUUACGAAGCGUGUGUGACGGUAAUAGGUGAAGAAGCACCGGCUAACUACGUG